GCCAUUAUUUGACGUUAGCGACAGAAGAAGCACCGGCUAACUCCGUGCCAGCAGCCGCGGUAAUACCGAGGGUGCGAGCGUUAAUCGGAAUUACUGGGCGUAAAGCGCAUGCAGGUGGUUUGUUAAGUCAGAUGUGAAAGCCCGGGGCUCAACCUCGGAAUAGCAUUUGAAACUGGCAGACUAGAGUACUGUAGAGGGGGGUAGAAUUUCAGGUGUAGCGGUGAAAUGCGUAGAGAUCUGAAGGAAUACCGGUGGCGAAGGCGGCCCCCUGGACAGAUACUGACACUCAGAUGCGAAAGCGUGGGGAGCAAACAGGAUUAGAUACCCUGGUAGUCCACGCCGUAAACGAUGUCUACUUGGAGGUUGUGGCCUUGAGCCGUGGCUUUCGGAGCUAACGCGUUAAGUAGACCGCCUGGGGAGUACGGUCGCAAGAUUAAAACUCAAAUGAAUUGACGGGGGCCCGCACAAGCGGUGGAGCAUGUGGUUUAAUUCGAUGCAACGCGAAGAACCUUACCUACUCUUGACAUCCAGAGAACUUUCCAGAGAUGGAUUGGUGCCUUCGGGAACUCUGAGACAGGUGCUGCAUGGCUGUCGUCAGCUCGUGUUGUGAAAUGUUGGGUUAAGUCCCGCAACGAGCGCAACCCUUAUCCUUGUUUGCCAGCGAGUAAUGUCGGGAACUCCAGGGAGACUGCCGGUGAUAAACCGGAGGAAGGUGGGGACGACGUCAAGUCAUCAUGGCCCUUACGAGUAGGGCUACACACGUGCUACAAUGGCGCAUACAGAGGGCGGCCAACUUGCGAAAGUGAGCGAAUCCCAAAAAGUGCGUCGUAGUCCGGAUUGGAGUCUGCAACUCGACUCCAUGAAGUCGGAAUCGCUAGUAAUCGUGGAUCAGAAUGCCACGGUGAAUACGUUCCCGGGCCUUGUACACACCGCCCGUCGGCACCAUGGGAGUGGGCUGCAAAAGAAGUAGGUAGUUUAACCUUCGGGGGAACGCUACCCCUUG
rnacentral:rRNA from 1 species